AACAGCUCAAAUUUGAAAUCUGGCCCUUGGGUCCGAAUUGUAAUUUGUAGAGGAUGAUUUUGGUGCGGUAUCUUCCGAGUUCCUUGGAACAGGACGCCUUAGAGGGUGAGAGCCCCGUACGGUUGAAUGCCUAGCCUCUGUAAAUCUCCUUCGACGAGUCGAGUAGUUUGGGAAUGCUGCUCUAAAUGGGAGGUAAAUUUCUUCUAAAGCUAAAUACUGGCCAGAGACCGAUAGCGCACAAGUAGAGUGAUCGAAAGAUGAAAAGCACUUUGAAAAGAGGGUUAAAUAGCACGUGAAAUUGUUGAAAGGGAAGGAUUUAUGACCAGACUUUUUCUGGGCGGAUCAUCCGGUGUUCUCACCGGUGCACUUUGCCCAGUUUAGGCCAGCAUCGAUUUUCGGAUAGGGAUAAAAGCUUUAGGAAUGUGGCUCCCCCGGGAGUGUUAUAGCCUAUUGUAUAAUACCUUUCUGGGGAUCGAGGUACGCGCUUCUGCAAGGAUGCUGGCGUAAUGGUUAUCAAUCACCCGUCUUGAAACACGGACCAAGGAGUCGAACAUUUGUGCGAGUGUUUGGGUGUUAAACCCUCACGCGUAAUGAAAGUGAACGGAGGUGAGAGCCCUUACGGGUGCAUCAUCGACCGAUCCUGAAGUUUUCGGAUGGAUUUGAGUAAGAGCAUAACUGUUCGGACCCGAAAGAUGGUGAACUAUGCGUGGAUAGGGUGAAGCCAGAGGAAACUCUGGUGGAGGCUCGCAGCGGUUCUGACGUGCAAAUCGAUCGUCAAAUCUGCGCAUGGGGGCGAAAGACUAAUCGAAC
rnacentral:rRNA from 1 species